GAGGCUAUAGCUCAGUUGGUAGAGUGCUUACCUCACAUGCACAAGGUCCUGGGUUCAAUUCCUAGUACCACCA
rnacentral:tRNA from 1 species